AAAAUGGCUCUUUUCAGAGCCAUUUAUUUUUAUGAAGCAAGGAUAU
rfam:Taeniopygia guttata chromosome 4, whole genome shotgun sequence.